CAGUAGCAAAAGGCAAAAAGAUAUGACGCUGGAAGAUGAGCCCCUCAGGUCGGAAGGUGUCCAAUAUAAUACAGGGGAAGAGCAGAGGGCUAGUACUAGUAGUGCCAGAAAGAAUGAAUCGACUGGGUCAAAGCUGAAAGGACACUCAGUUGCUGAUGUAUCUGGUGGU